rnacentral:rRNA from 1 species
UCGCACCUACCGAUUGAAUGAUUCGGUGAAGCGUUCGGACUUCGCCACUGGCCUCGGCCGGCGGCGAGGGAAGUUCUCUAAACCUCAUCAUUUAGAGGAAGGUG